rnacentral:lncRNA from 1 species
CAGAAAAAAAAGAAAUAUUAAAUAUAUAUUGUGUCAUCCAAUUGAGUGAUUCCUUUUUUUCUUCUAACCUUGAAAGUAUCGAUAGAUACUAUCGAAGAGCAGAUGCUAUGAAUCAAUUAAUUGAAAUUGAGUUCAUUUUUCAAAAAAAUCAUCGGAAAAAGUGAUCCAUUUGUUGUCAUUUAUACGACCAAAAUAUAAUGAUCAUGAUCAUUAAGAAUUCAACGGGACCCUUCCUCGCGAAUCAGACAAAGAAAGAGGAGGCGGGCCCCGUUGAGUUCUUACACUUUCAUGCCUAUAACUUAGUUCGUCUCAUUAUCCAUUAUUCCAUAUUACAGGGACGAACCCAAUCCAGAAUAUGAACCAUAAAAGAAAAUACCUAUUAAACCGAUCACAGGAAUACCAGUUACCGUACCUAUUAUCCAAAGAGGAAUCCUUCCAGUAGUAUCGGCCCUAAGUUAUUUUAAAAAGGCCCUAAGUUUGGUUCUAAUUUAUUUUUAAUUAUUUUAAUCAAUUUUACCAAAUUAAUUUUUUAAAUUGAAAUUUUUGACUAUUAUUGUUGCGUUUUUAAUAACACUAAUAUCAUAGCUAUCUCCGUAGUUCACAUAUAUUUCAUUGUUGAUGUAGAUAAUCUUAAAAAAAUGAUUUUUUAAAUAAUUUUUAUGUAGUUUUAAAAAAAAUUUAUGGAGUGCACGUGAAUUGUCAUGUUUGUUAUCAAGUCAGUGUUGUUAAAAAAUUUAUUUAUCUAAUUAGUUUUUUUCAUCAAAGAUAAUAAUUUAACUAAAUUUAAAAGGAUUAAAGUGAUCCGAAAAUUUUUCAUUAAACAAAAAUAAUAAUUAAAUUAUAGGGUAAUUUAUACUAAAGAUCAUUAAAGUAUUAGUAAUUUUACAUUCUAGCCACUCAACUUCAAAAAGUUAUAAAGUGGUUAUUGGACUAUUCGAAAGUUUUCAUUUAAAUCAUUGGGUUGUUAGAAUCGUUGUUAUGUGGCUUUCUCUAUUCACACCACCUACACCAAUUGGAAGCUCUCCUCUCCCUUCUCUUUUACAAUUCAUUUUUUUUUUAUGAAACAAUUUUGAAUGUCACGAAUUUACGAACCAAAAUUCAAAUAAUUUUCUUCUUCGAUCUCCAGAAUUGAUUGACAGAUCAAUUUGGAUCUUAGGUGUGUUCUUUUACUCGUCAAUGGAUACUAAUUCACGGUACUGAUCAUCAGAUCAUCACUUAAAGCUCACUAGUCAAACUUUUUAAAAAAUUAACAACCUAGUGACUUAAACAAAUAUUUUCGAAUAAUUUCAAAAUAUAAAACUUAAACCUUUACUAACAAUACUAAAAUUUUAUCAAUAAAUAUCGAAUUUUUUUUAUAAUUUUAUUAUAAAAUUUGGAGUUUUGCAAAAUAUCACACCAAUAAUUCACCCUAAGUAAAGCUUAAAGUAAGUCAAUUCAUUGAAAUUAAAUUAAAUUGAAGAUAUUGAUAAAGGCAGGUUAACCACUAAUUGGAAAUAAAUUAUGCUUUAAUUUCUAAAUCCACAUCUUUACUCAAUCAUUCUCAUUGAUUAGUAAACAAAACAACUUUUUUUAAGUUAUAUAGAAUUUGCCAAUGCAAAAAAUAUAUAAUUUAGUAGUGUUGUUGGAAUCUGAUAAGUUAGAAAUAUAAAUUUAUCAAUAUAUUGAUUUGAACAAAAAAUUUAAACUAAAUUUUAAAUUAAUCGUUCAAAAUUGAUUAAACCAACAAUUAAAUCGAUUGAACUAAUUUUAUAAUUUUCUAUUAAAUUAAAUAAAUUAUUUCUGUACCCACACAAUAUUAGCUUGAAUAACCCAAAGCACAAAUAUCACUAGUAAGUUGAAAAUUUGAGGAAGAUGCCUCAAAAUUGAAUAACAUGAAGUCAAAUUAGGCUUGACCCUUUUGAGCUAACUUUUGGUGACGGUCGAAAUGGUUGAAUUUCACCAAAGUACACAAAAUAAAUAUUCACCCAUCACUUAGAAAUUGCUUGUUUGAAUUUUUCAUAAAUUAAAUUUGAAUUAAAAAUAAUAAUCACCCAUGUGGUGGCCUAACGGUUAAAAGUGUUCGUUAUCUUAGAUGUAACUUGAAUUCGAAUUGCACUAGUCGUAUUUGUUAUUCGAGUUUUACCUUAUUAUUGUAAUUCACCAAAAUAAAAAUAAAAAAACUUUAUUCAUCGGUUAAUAAUUCAAGUUGAAUAUGAUUUUUAUGUACAAUGAAUUUGAUUAGCUUCCUUCCAUUAGGGGUCAUAUUUUUGUGAAAUUAUUUUUAUGUAGGUCCAAAAAUGCAUGGCCGAUGAUAUUUUGACAAAUUUAGUGUUUUUUUUCUUAAAGAAAUGGGUUAGGAACAUUGAACUGUAAGUUCUAGAAACAUGAAAUUUGGGGUUUCAAUUAUUUUAUAUUUGAUAAUAAUAUGAAUAUGAUCUCAUUUAACAAAAAUUUUAAACUUUUGACCUAAAAUAUUUACAAAAUAACACACAAACUCCUAAAACAUAUUCAAGAAUAAUAUAAAAAUAGACUUUAUCAACUAUUUCGGCAUCCACCGUCUCCAAUUUUGAGGUUUUUAUGAUUGAGUUUUAGCUCGAUUGAUAUAUGUAUUAUUAUCAAUAUAGGAAAACAUAAGUUUCAUUGUGCUGAAAUAUAUUAUCCUCUUAUGUAUGAGUUGGGGAGGGGCUAUGGGUAGUUCUAGACAUUGUGUCAAAAAGAACAGAUAUUAUCAGAACCUAUAAUAAAAUUAUUCAAAAAAAAUAAAAAUAAAUAAUGUGUAAUUUUUUAAAAUAUAUUUUGAUUUAAGUUUUAUUAUCGAGUAAUUUUUUUAGAUUUAUUUUAGUUCAAGUUUGGAUAUAUUCCGAUUAUCAAUCCUUUCAUGCUUUAUUUUUAUUUUUUCAAAGGGGUGUUUCUACUGUUUUCAAAAUUGGACCAGAUCUAUCGGUCGAGCCGGUUGAAUUAUAAAUCAAUCAGGGCACUAAAUUAAAUAAAGUGUUAAAUUAAUUGACUCACAAACCAAUUGAAUCGGCCAAUCGGAUCGGUUGAACUAAUUUUUUUUAAUAAUUUGUUUAAUUAAAUCUAACCAACCAAUCAAGCCAAAAAUCUUUUUAUGUAACAAUCAAAAUUUGAAAAGCUUGGAUAUUUUCUUCUUGAUUUGAAUCCUCAUAAUAAAAUCAAUCAAAGUUGUUGCCACAAGCUUUUCAAGUGAUGCAUUAGGUUGUUUAGGUGGCCGCAUUCAAAUCUUGUGCUUGCUGGUCCAUCCCUUGCUAAAAGUCUAUAGCUUCAAUUAUGAUACCCCCAAAAUUAAAUUGUGGUCCAAAAUCCCCAAUCUAUGGGUCUCAUCUUGUAUUUAAAUUCAAUGUCACCAAAAUAUUUUCCUUUUUCAUUUAUUUUUUUAAUGAAGACAUUUUUUUCCGGGAUCGCCAUUAAUUGUCAUAAUAAACAAUGGGUAUAUGAUCAAAGACGAAGUUAGAAAUUUUAUAUUAGAAACAUUAAUAAAGUCUAGAUAAUUUUUUUUUAAAAAGUUAGGGGCUAAAGAUAAAAAUAAUUCCAAGUUAAAUGAUCUAAAUUGAAUAAAUAAUUUUUUGUAGGGUCAAAAAUGUAAUUUCCUAUUUGACCCAAAGCUAAAAAUAAUUAAAAUUGAACUCUUAAUUUUUUAGGACUAAAAAGAGAAUUAUACCAUUUAACCAAUGCUCCAGCAUGCCCCUGUCUAUCUUGUAUAAAAACUCCCUUGCCAUUUACUUUUUAAUAUAAUAAAAUUAAAUUCAGAAAGAAAAUAUUUUUCUCUUAAAUGUAUGAUUGUCACCUUUCACCUACAUUAAUUUAUUCUUUCAAAUAUUAAAUCUUGAUUUGAUUUUUUAUUUUAAAUUAAAUUAUUAAUUUUUUCGAAAAGAGACAAAUAACAUUCUAGUGAAAAUAUUGAGUAAAACAUUAAUUUUUAACGAUGUUUGCGUGGUAAUCCGUAUGACAUUUCACGUGUACUUCAUGCUGAUACAUCACUAUUUGUCUUAUAUAUCAUAUCAACAAAUAAUUUAAAUAUGUAUGAAGUUCAUAAACAUUAAAAAAAAUUAACAUGAAGUACACGUGGUUCCUAUACAUUUUGGUAAGCAUUUUUAUUAAAAGAAAUUAAUAACUCGACUAUUUUUGAAUGAUUAGUAGUCAAAUUCGAUCAUUUUUAAAAGAAGUGUCAAAUUUAACUAAAUAAUAAUAAAAUCGUAAUAAAGUUUCCAUAAUUUAAAUUGAUCCGAACUCUAAAAUUAAAUUAUUUUUUAAAUAAAAUUUGACAUAUAAAUGUAGAAGAAAAUUCGGAUUUAUAAAAAACUCGAAUUUGAAAUAAUUUUUUAUAAUCCAACCCACAAAAUUGAUAUCAUUUAAUCAAUAAAAAGGUAUUCUUUUUGUUGGUGAAUUAUAAGAGGAGGACAAAGCCCUAACAGCAACGCGACUAGCACGACUCAAACUAAAACCACACCUAGGGUGAUGAACACUAUAAUCAUCAGGGCAACACACGAGGUUCAAAAAAGAUACUUUUAAUUAUUAAUAAAUGAUUUAAAAUGAAAACAGAUCAAAACUAGUUAAAUUAUUUGAUUUUGGAUCUAUUGAAAUCUUUCUCAUCAGCUUUUUGUUGUUAGUAUUCCUUAUGGAAUCAAUGUUAGGUUGGUCCUCCUUCAUUUCCUCUUAUCAAAAAUUCCAUUUUCACCUUAUUAUUGGUCUAAUAAUUUCGAUUCAAAUGUUAAUAUGUUAGUGUUUUAAUCACAUAAUAAUGUUAAUUAUUUGGUUAACUAAUGACAUUGUAAAUGUAGAAAUCAUUUAUUUAAAGUACCGGGACUAAAUACUAAGUUUAAACAUAAUAAAAGGAUCAAAACCAAAACUUAACCUAUUUAUUAAAUAUCAAUUUUGAAAAUAUUAAUUAAAUUAAAUUAAAUUAUUGAAAAAAAAACAACUAAUUUAAUGUCAAAUUUUACUAUUAGUUCAUGUAUUAUUCAUAAGUCGUGGAUUUAGUAUUUAUGCUCUAAAUAUUUUUCAUGUUUAGUCCUUGAACUUUUUGGUUUUUAAAAUUUCAAUCCUAACCUAAAUAGUUGCUGUUGAAUUUUGUUAUUUACUAUGUCAGUUUACUAUUUCCAUGGUUUUAAGUAGGAGUUUUUCGGCUCUACAAGUUUUGUUUUUCGAAUUUAGUCAUCCAAGUUCAAGUCAUUUUGGAUUUGGAUUUGGGUCAAGUUCGAGUUGUUCCAAUUUCAAGCUAUCUCGAGUUUGGAUUGUUUUUUAAUUUUUGCCAUCUAGCUUCGCGAGUUGGUUUUUGUUUAUUUUUUUGCACUAAUUUUUAAAGUUGAAUCAUCUUGAGUUCAAGUCAUUUUAGGUCUGGCCUUGAAUUAAGCUCUGAACUGUUCCAAUUUUUGAGUACUUCAAGUUUAGGUUGUUUUUAAGUUUUGGCCAUUUAGCUUUGCCUAUUGUGUCUUUUUUUUUCACCGAGUUAUCUUGGGUUCAAGUCAUUCUUGAUUUGAAAAAUUCCCAAUUAAGAGGUUGGACAAGUUUGCUAACUUUUUAUCAGAAAAUAAAAUUGUGUUAAAUUUAAAUUAAUCGAAUUAAAUUGGUAAUUCAGAUCAAAAUUUUCAAGUUUAAUUUAAAUAUUAUUUCAAAUGUUAGUAUUUAUAAUUUCUUUUUCGUAAUCGAAAGAGAAAAUUCUCAAACCUAUGUGUUUAGUUUAAUUUACAAAUUUGUACACAAAAAAAUUGAUUUUAUUAAAUUUUCAUAAUUUUUUUAUUCAAUAUAAAAAUAAUUUGAUAUAUUUAUUUCUUUGAACGUGUAUAAUUAAAUUAAAAUUAAAAUUUCAUAUAUAUAUUUAAUCCACAAUAAAAACUUUAUAUAUAUAAUUACACCAAUUAAAUCAAAUUUUAUUUAUCAAAUUACACAUUAAAUUAAUUUUUUAUAGUUUUGCCUACCCAAAAUUACAAAAGAGAAAUCAACACUAAUAAGAUGGAAUUAUUGGUUAAAUUAAAGAGUAUUAUUGUAUUUGUAAUUUUCAAAAUGUUUUUUUUUCAUAAUUAUCAAUUUUUUUGGUUUAUAAUUUUGCACUGUUUAAUAAAAUAUAAAAUUAAACAUGACAAAGGCAUGCUUAAAUAUCACUAUCAAUUUCGAAUAACAUAGAGAUAUUAUAUCAAUAAUUUCAUCUUAAAUUUCAAGAAAUUUUAUUCUUUUUCAAUAUAAAAAUAUUGAUGUAACAUUAAUCUAUUGAAAAAGAAAUACAGAUAACAUAUCAUUUCCGAGAAAAUAGCAUGGUGAAACGAAUAUGUCCAUGACAACACAAAUUCAUGCAAUCAUCUCAAUAUCCUUUACCAAUUAAAAUUAAUUUAUUCAUAUUUUUUUACUUUUUUGGGGUUUUGAAAUAUUCAUUGUAUUUACACUAAAAUAUGUAUAUAUUAUUUCUCCAAAUAUUAUUUCCCUUACGGUGGGCUUGAUUUUGUCAAAGAUAAACAAUCUUAACAAAUCUGUCUUGAAAAUUGUUCAUUAAUUUUGUAAUUCUCUAUCUUGAUUUUUUUUUAUUUUAGAAAUAAAAUAUUUAUAUUUAUAUAAUUAAAAUAAAAUUCUAUUUGAAUAAAUUAAAUUAAAAUAAAAUUCUAUUUGAAUAAAUUAAAUUAAAAUAAAUCAAAGUGAAUUAAACCAUAUAUAUAUAUAUGAACAAUUUGAUUAUAUCUAUUAUUUUUAAUACAAUGUCUAGAAUUACCCAUAAAUAAGAGGAUAAUGCAUUUUAACACGUUAGAACUCACGCCAAUUUAAAUUAAACCGAAAUAAACUACUUUUUUUUUUGGCCAAAAAUAAAGUCAUUUAAUUAAUAAAAAUGUUGCUUUCCAAUUCCUAAUUGUCCUUUGCAAGUACUAUGUGGAAGGUGCGGUCCGGUUCGGUCACAAGUCAUCAAUUUUGUGAUGUUUACCUACUGCGUUCAUGCACCUCUUAAAGUUAGGACUUUUACUUUAUUUAAAGUUUAUUAUAUUCUAUUUUAAAAUUUAUGAUUAUGUUGUGUAUAUACUUUGAAUAUUUUAAUCCAAUAUACUAUAGAUCAUAUAUGAAUUAUCUAGGUAAUAUAUGAUGGUUAAGAUAUGUUACAAGUCGUUGACUGAGUUUUAGCUCAAUUGGUAUUAGUAUUGUUGUUAAUAUAAAAUGACGUAAGUUCGAGUGCAUCAAUACACAUUACCCUCCUAUUUAAGGGUUAGGGAGGGGCUAUGAAUAGUUUUAGUUGUGUUAAAAUUACAUUUUAACCUUAUAUAAUUAACAAAAUGAUUUUCUCAACUCAAAAGUCUGAAUUAUUGUUAAUUAAACACAGCAAAUUAUUUUUAUAUUAAUAUCAAUGUCAAUAUUUAUUGUUUAUAUGCUUUAUAAUUAAAUUUAAAUAAUUUUUUAAUUACUAAAUGUAAUGAAUUUUAAAUAUUCGGUUCAAACUCAACUAAAUAAAUAACCUGACCCUUUGGAUAAAUUGUCCAACCAAAAUCAUCUAUCGAAGAAUUUUUUUUUUUAAAAUUAUGGACCGACGUGAAUGAAUAAAUGAAAGUGAAAUUUUAUUGAGCAAAAAUGGUAUCUCCUUUGUUUUUCUUGGUUCACAGAAUUGGAACAUUGUCGCUCUUAUAUUUAGGGGGGACAGAUUUAAGUUUUUUUCUUUGCUUAUUUUUGACUUUUUUUUUGUAAGAAUAUAUAUAUAUAUAUAUAUAUAUAUAUAUAUAUAUAUAUAUAUAUAUAUAUAUCCUAUGGUUAGGGGUCUACAAUUUUAUAGUUCAUACAGGGUUAAAAUUGCUAUUAUACAAUUUUUAAAAGUUGUCACUGUUAUUUUGUUGGCCAGCUGGCGACAAAAAAAGAUAAAAUUAAAUAGUUGAAUGACCAUUUUGUAACUUUUCAUAGUUGGGUGACUAAAAAAUAAUUUUACUAAUAAUUGAGUGAUUACCAAUGUAGUUUACCUAUAAAUCAUACAGUUCGUUUUAGGUAGGAAUGACAA